GGUGGUUCAGUGGUAGAAUGUUUGCUUUGAAUGCAUGAGGCCCUGGGUUCAAUUCCUCAGUACCA
rnacentral:tRNA from 1 species